rnacentral:lncRNA from 1 species
ACACAGGAAAAAAACGUUGGCCUUUUAUACCCUCCAAAAGCUGAAAAUUUCAUACCCUGCGCACCACGUCUUAUUGUAGGAUCAACUAACAUAUCAUCAUCAGAUCUUGCCCUCAGCAAACACGCCUCUUUUCUCUUUCUUGUAUGAAUUGCUCUGUCCGUGCUCCUCGAGAAGCCAAUUUGUUCGUAUCAUGAUAGGUUUGCCCAAGCAAUUUAUCUUUUAGUUCUGUGUGCAUGUUGAUAACCGUUGAUGC